rnacentral:rRNA from 1 species
UACGUAGGGUGCAAGCGUUUGUCCGGAAUUAUUGGGCGUAAAGAGCUCGUAGGCGGUUUGUCGCGUCUGCUGUGAAAACUCGGGGCUUAACCCUGGGCCUGCAGUGGGUACGGGCAGACUAGAGUGCGGUAGGGGAGACUGGAAUUCCUGGUGUAGCGGUGAAAUGCGCAGAUAUCAGGAGGAACACCGGUGGCGAAGGCGGGUCUCUGGGCCGUAACUGACGCUGAGGAGCGAAAGCGUGGGGGAGCGAACAGG